UACGUAGGGGGCAAGCGUUGUCCGGAAUCAUUGGGCGUAAAGCGCGCGUAGGCGGCCCUGUAAGUCCGUUGUGAAAGUCGAAGGCUCAACCUUCGAAAGCCGAUGGAUACUGCAGGGCUGGAGUCCGGAAGAGGCGAGUGGAAUUCCUGGUGUAGCGGUGGAAUGCGCAGAUAUCAGGAGGAACACCAAUAGCGAAGGCAGCUCGCUGGGACGAUACUGACGCUAAGGCGCGAAAGCGUGGGGAGCGAACAGG
rnacentral:rRNA from 1 species